rnacentral:tRNA from 1 species
GCCUGGCUGGCUCAGUCGGUAGAGCAUGUGACUCUUGAUCUCAGGGUUGUGAGUUCAAGCCCCAUGCUGGGUG